GGUUAAGCGACUAAGCGUACACGGUGGAUGCCCUGGCAGUCAGAGGCGAUGAAGGACGUGCUAAUCUGCGAAAAGCGUCGGUAAGGUGAUAUGAACCGUUAUAACCGGCGAUGUCCGAAUGGGGAAACCCAGUGUGAUUCGUCACACUAUCGUUAACUGAAUACAUAGGUUAACGAGGCGAACCGGGGGAACUGAAACAUCUAAGUACCCCGAGGAAAAGAAAUCAACCGAGAUUCCCCCAGUAGCGGCGAGCGAACGGGGAGCAGCCCAGAGUCUGAAUCAGC
rnacentral:ncRNA from 1 species